rnacentral:rRNA from 1 species
GACGAACGCUGGCGGCGUGCUUAACACAUGCAAGUCGUACGGUAAGGCCCUUUCGGGGGUCCACGAGUGGCGAACGGGUGAGUAACACGUGAGUAACCUGCCCACAACUUUGGGAUAACGCUAGGAAACUGGUGCUAAUACUGGAUAUGUGCUCCUGCUGCAUGGUGGGGGUUGGAAAGCUCCGGCGGUUGUGGAUGGACUCGCGGCCUAUCAGCUUGUUGGUGGGGUAGUGGCCUACCAAGGCGGCGACGGGUAGCCGGCCUGAGAGGGUGACCGGCCACAUUGGGACUGAGAUACGGCCCAGACUCCUACGGGAGGCAGCAGUGGGGAAUAUUGCACAAUGGGCGCGAGCCUGAUGCAGCAACGCCGCGUGCGGGAGGACGGCCUUCGGGUUGUAAACCGCUUUCAGCAGGGACGAAGCUUUUUGUGACGGUACCUGCAGAAGAAGCACCGGCUAACUACGUG